rnacentral:rRNA from 1 species
UACGGAGGGUGCAAGCGUUAUCCGGAUUCACUGGGUUUAAAGGGUGCGUAGGUGGGUUGGUAAGUCAGUGGUGAAAUCUCCGAGCUUAACUUGGAAACUGCCGUUGAUACUAUCAAUCUUGAAUAUCGCGUAGGUAAGCGGAAUAUGUCAUGUAGCGGUGAAAUGCUUAGAUAUGACAUAGAACACCAAUUGCGAAGGCAGCUUACUUCACGAUCAUUGACACUGAGGCACGAAAGCGUGAGAGCAAACAGG